rnacentral:lncRNA from 1 species
UUGUUGCCAAUUAUGGUAAAACAUAAUUCUGGAAGCUGAGAGUGACUCUUACCCCUUUAGGAAAAAGGACUCUUUUCCUUCAGGUGCUGACGGAGUUGUUCCAGUGGUAUUCAGCUGAGAGUGGGCAGGAGGAAGACCACUGGAGCUGGAGUCCAUCAAAAUCCUAGUUUCUGUUCUUUAAUAUGGUGUGCCUACUGUAGGAUAAGUUUCCUUGCCUGCAAAUAUCAACAACCCUUGUUUUCUCAACCUCACAGAGUGUAGUGAGGUUCCAAUGAGGUUAUAUUUGGAAGAGACUUGAAAAAUCAACAACGGUGUUAAAUAUGGCUUUCCCGCGUGGAAGUAGGACAACUGAAAUGAAACAUUGCGUCAAAAUAAAAAUUUCUCCUUCACACCAAAAGCGAGCAAGGGAAAAAAUUUAACACUCAGCUCCAGCUGAAUACUGCUCGGGAUAAUGUGGUGAGCUGUUGAUUUGUUCUUUUCUAAUGAGAAUUGAUGUGAGUCAUCCUAGAAGAGUUUGGGAUUAAAUUCUCCUAUCAUCUUCAACACAUUUUUGAAUCAAGCCAUUGGUUUCCAAGAUAUGGUCACUUUCUGUUAAUGGAGAUUUUAACAGAGAUGUUACUUCUGUCUGUAAAAUUUCAACACAAACUUUUCUUUCGGUAUCUAAAACCAUCUAUCUGAAUUAGUGGAAGCAAAUGAAGCUAGUGGAGCAGGGCUGUGCAAGCUGAUUGUCACAGAGGUUUCCAGCACCAAACUAGAUGGGACAAUAUUUGAAAUUGUAUGGCUACAGAAUGGAGUUUGCGUUUUAAAGGUAAGUUGCAAGAGGUUGUCAAACACUUCUUCAUGGCUUAAUAUCUAUAACAUUUGAUAACGUUGUGCUUCUUGUGUUGAAAUACUGUUGAAACUUCUCCGCGCAUUGUGUUGUUUGUGCCGUCGAGUCGAUUCUGACUCCUAGCAAGCCUGUGGACAGCAGAGCAGAACCCUGCUCUUUCUCACCAUCCUCUCACCUUCUGGCGCUGGAUCAGAUGAUGCUCUGCUGCUGUUCAUAGGGUUUUCAUGGCUAAUAUUUUCGGAAGUGGGCAGCCAGGUCCUUCGUCCUAGUCUGUCUUGGUCUUGAAGAGCCUCUGAAACAUCCAUCAUGGGUGACCCUGCUGGUAUUUGAAAUACUGGUGGCAGAGCUUUCAGCAUCACAGCCACAUGUAGCUGCCACAAUAUGACAACCGACAGACGGAUGGUGUGGUUCCCUGACCGGGAAACGAACUCGGGCCACAGCAGCAAGAGCACCAAAUGUUAACCAUUAGUUCACCAGGGCUGGCUACCCACGUUUAGACAAUUGAAUAACAUUAAAAACAUGAUAGAGCCUUCUAAUGGUAUAUAAAAAGACUGAUUGCACCAAAAAAAAUUUGUCAUGGUACACAGGAUCAUUUUAGUAUUCUCAGAUAGAUUGCAAAAAGACGGAAUUGAACAGAAAAGUCAAACUUGAGAUCCUUGUUUGCUUGCCUUGCUGACUGGUUUCUGUGGCUCUCACAGCCUGGGAACUCAUCACCAGCACACAGUCUGGCAGU